CCUACGGGAGGCAGCAGUGGGGAAUAUUGCACAAUGGGGGAAACCCUGAUGCAGCAACGCCGCGUGAGUGAAGAAGUAUUUCGGUAUGUAAAGCUCUAUCAGUAGGGAAGUGAAGGACGGUACCUGACUAAGAAGCCCCGGCUAACUACGUGCCAGCAGCCGCGGUAAUACGGAGGGGGCAAGCGUUAUCCGGAUUUACUGGGUGUAAAGGGAGUGUAGACGGCUGGCAAAGUCAGUAGUGAAAGCGCGGGGCUUAACCCCGGAACGGCUUUGGAAACUGGCCGGUGGGAGUGCAGGUGAGGCAGGCGGAAUUCCUGGUGUAGCGGUGAAAUGCGUAGAUAUCAGGAGGAACACCGGUGGCGAAGGCAGCCUACUAGACAGUAACUGACGUUGAGGCUCGAAAGCGUGGGGAGCAAACAGGAUUAGAUACCCGAGUAGUC
rnacentral:rRNA from 1 species